rnacentral:rRNA from 1 species
CCCUUAGAUGUUCUGGGCUGCACGCGCGCUACACUGACAUACUCAGCAAGUUUCCUUUCCCGAAAGGGUUGGGUAAUCUUGUUAGUGUAUGUCGUGAUGGGGAUAGAAUAAUGUAAUUAUUGCUCUUUAACGAGGAAUUCCUAGUAAGCGCAAGUCACCAGCUUGCGCUGAUUACGUCCCUGCCCUUUGUACACACCGCCCGUCGCUCCUACCGAUUGGGUGAUCCGGUGAAUGGUUCGGACUCUGGCUAUGCUAGCUACUAGCUACGUCAGGGAAAGUUCUGUGAACCUUAUCACUUGGAGGAAGGAGAAGUCGUANCA